rnacentral:rRNA from 1 species
AGAGUUUGAUCAUGGCUCAGAUUGAACGCUGGCGGCAUGCCUUACACAUGCAAGUCGAACGGCAACACGGGAGCAAUCCUGGUGGCGAGUGGCGAACGGGUGAGUAAUACAUCGGAACGUGUCCUGGAGUGGGGGAUAGCCCGGCGAAAGCCGGAUUAAUACCGCAUACGAUCUCUGGAUGAAAGCGGGGGACCGAAAGGCCUCGCGCUCAAGGGGCGGCCGAUGGCAGAUUAGCUAGUUGGUGGGGUAAAGGCCUACCAAGGCGACGAUCUGUAGCUGGUCUGAGAGGACGACCAGCCACACUGGGACUGAGACACGGCCCAGACUCCUACGGGAGGCAGCAGUGGGGAAUUUUGGACAAUGGGGGCAACCCUGAUCCAGCAAUGCCGCGUGUGUGAAGAAGGCCUUCGGGUUGUAAAGCACUUUUGUCCGGAAAGAAAACCGCUUCUCUAAUACAGAGGUGGGAUGACGGUACCGGAAGAAUAAGCACCGGCUAACUACGUGCCAGCAGCCGCGGUAAUACGUAGGGUGCGAGCGUUAAUCGGAAUUACUGGGCGUAAAGCGUGCGCAGGCGGUUCGCUAAGACCGAUGUGAAAUCCCCGGGCUUAACCUGGGAACUGCAUUGGUGACUGGCGGGCUAGAGUAUGGCAGAGGGGGGUAGAAUUCCACGUAGCAGUGAAAUGCGUAGAGAUGUGGAGGAAUACCGAUGGCGAAGGCAGCCCCCUGGGCCAAUACUGACGCUCAUGCACGAAAGCGUGGGGAGCAAACAGGAUUAGAUACCCUAGUAGUCC